rnacentral:lncRNA from 1 species
UUCUUCUCCUCUCGCUACAUGCACAGGCACAUGACAGUACAACAGGUAUAGAGUUCUGUUUCUAUUACAUGCAGUUAUUUCUUUACUGUUCCUUUAUCUUUCUCUAUACAGGUCAUAGCCAGUCCUCUUUACUGUUACUUAUGGAUAUUCAUUUACCUGUUCCGACCACUUACCUAUUCUACUGCAUAUUUUACUAUUCUUUCAUGAUUCU